UAAAAGAUAGUUUAAACCGAAAAACAAAGAAAUUUGACUUCUUAAAUAUAAGUUCAAUUCUUAUUCUCUUAA
rnacentral:tRNA from 1 species